GAUCGCGAUGUUUGCAACACUGCAAUGCGACUCAUAGCUUUGUUGUCUGCUGAGAAAGAGAAUCUCGAAACCUUGCUCUGACUUUCUUUUUUUAUGGUGAAUAAUAAAUACAAAUUAUUGUGCGAUUCUUAUAGUAAAUUGUUUUCUAAUUGAGUGAGCGAUUUAUAUUAUAUUUUAGUAAAUUGUGUAACUGUUCCAUUAUAUAAAUCGUCAUGGCUACUUCAGUUACCACAAAUCCGUCUACGUUAUUGCCUUUAGAACUAGUUGACAAGUGUAUCGGUUCUCGAAUACACAUAAUUAUGAAAAAUGAUAAAGAGAUUGUAGGAACUUUGCAAGGUUUUGACGAUUUCGUGAAUAUGUUGCUGGAAGAUGUAACAGAAAGUGAAGCAACCCCGGAAGGUCGCAGAGUUACGAAGUUGGAUCAAAUUCUUCUUAAUGGCAGCAACAUUACUAUGUUGGUGCCGGGUGGCGAGAUGCCAGAUACAUAAGAAUUUUGGGCCAUUGUCCUGAGCGCAAUGGAAAAUUUAUUUGUAUCCUUACAAGAUUAUGGCCAUGCACUGAACUAGUUACUUAUCGCAAAAAUAUAUAUGAUGGUAUGGAUAUGUAAUCCAUGGAAUGGGACUUCUCGAGACAACAUUUGCCAGGCUACUAUUCCUAAGGAAUAAAUAUCAGCGGCAAAUGUAGGUACAUCUCCUCGAAGCAUUUCUGGUGCUGCAUAGCCUGGUGUACCCUGAUAAAGGGAUCAAUUUUUUAUGUGAAAAAACAAAAUCAUCACACAUACAUUACAUGUGAAUAAGUCUUUAUAAUUAUGUAUAUAUGUAUAAAAAAAUAUUAAAACUAUGCCUGUGUUGCAACA